AGUUAAGUGGUCAUUAUAGGUAAGACUUGUAAUCAGUAGGUCGCCAGUUCGACUCCGGCAGUCGGCACCA
rnacentral:tRNA from 1 species